GGGGUUGUAGCUCAGUGGUAGAGUGCUUGCCUAGCAUGCGUGGGGCACUGAGUUCGAUCCUCAGCACCACA
rnacentral:tRNA from 1 species